UACCAGCUCAAAUUUGAAAUCUGGCUCCCCGCGGAGUCCGAGUUGUAAUUUGUAGAAGAUGCUUUGGGUACUUGGCCUGGCCUAAGUUCCUUGGAACAGGACGUCAUAGAGGGUGAGAAUCCCGUAUGCGGCCGGCGUCGGUGCCCGUGUAAAGCUCUUUCGACGAGUCGAGUUGUUUGGGAAUGCAGCUCAAAAUGGGUGGUAAAUUUCAUCUAAAGCUAAAUAUGGGCCAGAGACCGAUAGCGCACAAGUAGAGUGAUCGAAAGAUGAAAAGCACUUUGGAAAGAGAGUUAAACAGUACGUGAAAUUGUUGAAAGGGAAGCGCUUGCAACCAGACUUGGGCGUCGCUGAUCAUCCAAAGACUUUCUCUGGUGCACUCGACGACGCACAGGCCAGCAUCGGUUGGAGUGGUGGGAGAAAGGUUGCCGGAACGUGGCUCUCUUCGGAGAGUGUUAUAGCCGGCGACGCAAUACCGCCUACCCUGACCGAGGACCGCGCUUCGGCUAGGAUGCUGGCGUAAUGGUUGUAAGCGACCCG
rnacentral:rRNA from 1 species